AGAUUGAACGCUGGCGGCAGGCCUAACACAUGCAAGUCGAGCGGCAGCACGGGUACUUGUACCUGGUGGCGAGCGGCGGACGGGUGAGUAAUGCCUAGGAAUCUGCCUGGUAGUGGGGGAUAACGCUCGGAAACGGACGCUAAUACCGCAUACGUCCUACGGGAGAAAGCAGGGGACCUUCGGGCCUUGCGCUAUCAGAUGAGCCUAGGUCGGAUUAGCUAGUUGGUGAGGUAAUGGCUCACCAAGGCGACGAUCCGUAACUGGUCUGAGAGGAUGAUCAGUCACACUGGAACUGAGACACGGUCCAGACUCCGUACGGGAGGCAGCAGGUAGGGGAAUAGUUGGAACAAGUGGGCGAAAGCCUAGAUCCAGCCAUCGCCGGCGUAGUGUAGAAGGUAAGGUCGUUCGGAUUUAGGAAAGUCUAAGUUUAA
rnacentral:rRNA from 1 species